CUUCUUGUAUGGUGGGCUUGAAACUGCCUCCCCCUUUUUCCAACAUCUGUACUGUGUAAAUAGUUACAGAAUGUAGAUUGUCUAAUUGUAAGGUAGACUAGAAACUGCCUCUCCCUGUCUAACAUCUGUACUGUGUAAAUCAGUUACAGGUAUUUUUGGCUGUGUUAUUGUAAGUUUGACUAGAAACUGUCCCUCCUAAUUUAACAUUUAUAGUGUGUAAACCAGUUACAGGCUUGUGGACUAUCUUCUUGUAAGUAGGGCUUGAAACUGCCCCCCCCCCCCCCCUUUUCCAACAUCUGUACUGUGUAAAUAGUUACAAAAUGUAGAUUGUCUAAUUGUAAGAUUGACUAGAAACUGCCUCUCCCUGUCUAACAUCUGUACUGUUUAAAUCAGUUACAGGUAUUUUUGGCUGUGCAAUUGUAAGGUUGACUAGAAACUGUCCCUUUUUAUUUAACAUCUAUAGUGUGUAAACCAGUUAAAGGCUUGUGGACUAUCGUCUUGUAAGGUGGGCUUGAAACUGCCCCCCCCCCCUUUUCCAACAUCUGUACUGUGUAACUAGUCACAGGAUGCAAAUUGUCUAAUUGUAAGAUUGACUAGAAACUGCCUCUCCCUAUCUAACAUCUGUACUGUUUAAAUCAGUUACAGGUAUUUUUGGCUGUGUUAUUGUAAGUUUGACUAGAAACUGUCCCUCCUUAUUUAUCAUCUAUACUGUUUAAACCAGUUACAGGCUUAUGGACUAUCUUCUUGUAAGGUGAGCUUGAAACUGUCCCUCCUUAUUUAACAUCUGUACUGUGUAAAUAGUUACAGAAUGUAGAUUGUCUAACUGUAAGGUUGACCAGAAACUGCCUCUCCCUGUCUAACAUCUGUACUGUUUAAAUCAGUUACGGGUAUUUUUGGCUGUGUAAUUGUAAGGUUGACUAGAAACUGCCUCUCCCUGUCUAACAUCUGUACUGUUUAAAUCAGUUACAGGUAUUUUUGGCUGUGUACUAGAAACUGUCCCUCUUUAUUUUACAUCUAUAGUGUGUAAACCAGUUAAAGGCUUGUGGACUAUCUUCUUGUAAGGUGGGCUUGAAACUGGCCCCCCCCCCCCCCCCCUUUCCAACAUCUGUACUGUGUAACUAGUUACAGGAUGCAAAUUGUCUAAUUGUAAGAUUGACUAGAAACUGCCUCUCCCUGUCUAACAUCUGUACUGUUUAAAUCAGUUACAGGUAUUUUUGGCUGUGUUAUUGUAAGUUUGACUAGAAACUGUCCCUCCUUAUUUAUCAUCUAUACUGUGUAAACCAGUUACAGGCUUAUGGACUAUCUUCUUGUAAGGUGAGCUUGAAACUGUCCCUCCUUAUUUAACAUCUGUACUGUGUAAAUAGUUACAGAAUGUAGAUUGUCUAACUGUAAGGUUGACCAGAAACUGCCUCUCCCUGUCUAACAUCUGUACUGUUUAAAUCAGUUACAUGUAUUUUUGGCUGUGUAAUUGUAAGGUUGACUACAAACUGUCCCUCCUUAUUUAAUAUCUAUACUGUGUAAACCAGUUACAGGCUUGUGGACUAUCUUCUUGUAAAGUGGGAUUGAAACUGCCCCUCUUUUUCCAACAUCUGUACUGUGUAAAUAGUUACAGGAUGUAGAUUGUCUAAUUGUAAGGUUGACUAGAAACUGCCUCUCCCUGUCUAACAUCUGUACUGUGUAAAUCAGUUACAGGUAUUUUUGGCUGUGUAUGUACCUUGUUGUCCUCAACUAACUGUUGUCCUUCUGGUGCCCCGGUUUCAUUGGCCAGCAGGAUUGUGUAAUGGAGGAGUGAUUUCAAAUUGAUUGUAGACAACUCCUUUCCGGACAUUUCUAAAAUCUCUUCCGCCGACUCGUUAGUUAAUUCUUUGAAUUUGGGUGCAUUGGACACGAACACGGCAUUGGACAAUUCCUCUAAUGCCGUGUUCGAUUUCAAUCUACACCAGUUCAAUCGCUGGCCUGCGUAUGUCCUCAUUUUUUUUUACUACAGGAAGGAUAUUUUUCCCAACUAAGGAGUGCCUCCUUUUUAAUAUAGCCGAUGGUAGCAUUCUUGGUUUAUCGUUUCUAAAAUUAAAAUGAAUAAUUCUUAAUAAACACGUCCACACCAGCAAACUUGAUGAAAUGACCACACAUAAUUAAUAUUAUAAAAUAAAUAAUUUAACAACGUAGAACCCUUAUAAAACCACUCUUUUUUUAAGCGGGGGGGGGGGGGGUGGUUGGUUAAAGUCUGCUGCCGCUAACCUAUUACUCAAGCAUCAAACAUGCAUUUAUAUCUGUAUCAUUAACCGAGCUGAUAGUAAUAGUGUCAAGGCGCUGAAAGUUGACUAGAAACUGCCCAUCCUUAUUUAACAUCUAUACUGUGUAAAUUAGUUACAGGUUUACUGGCUGUCUUAUUCUAAGGUGAGCUAGGUACUGUUCCCCCUGUCUAUCAUCUGUACUGUGUAAACCAGUUAUGGGUUUUUUUUGGCUGCGUUAUUGGAAGGUUGACUAGAAAACUGUUCCUCAUUUAAUACCAGUACUGUGUUAAUCAGUUUCUGGUAUUUUGGCUUAGAAUUGAAUAAUAAUAAAUUAUAGAAAUGAUAUGGAUGUAAAUAAAGAUUUUCUAAGAAAGAUGAUAUAUUUAAAUUAAAGCAGGAUAUUUAGAUAUUACUUGUUAAUUUCUGAAUUAAAAAAAAAGGAGUUAUAGAUUGCUUAUUGUAAGAUGGACUAGAAAUUGUCCCUCCCUGUCUAUCAUCUGUACUGUUUAAAUCAGUUACAGGGUUUUUGGCUGUCUUAUUGUAAGGUGGACAAGAAUCUGCCCCGCCUUGUCUAAAAUCUGUACUGUGUAAAUCAGUUACAGGUUUUUUGGCUUGGUAAGGUGGACUAGAAACCGUAAGAUUGACUAGGAACUGUUCCUCCUUAUUUAUCAUCUGUACUGUGUAAAUCAGUUUCAGGUAUUUUGGCUAUCCUGUUGUAAGGUGGACCUGAAAUUGUCUCUUCCUGUCUUUCAUCUGUACUGUGUAAAUCAGUUACGGGUGUUUUAGCUGUGUAAUUGUUGAGGUUGAUUAGAAACUGUUCCUCCUUAUUUAACAUCUGUACUGUAUACAUUAGUAACAGGUGUAUUGGCUGUGUUAUUGUAAGGUGGGCUUGAAACUGCCUCUCCAUGUCUAACAUUUGUACUGUGUAAAUCAGUUACAGGUUUGUGUGUUUGUAUAUAGUAAAGUAUAGCGGUUAAUUAAUUACCUGUAACCUGUGGUGAACAUAUUAUGGUGUACUGUAUUACUCUCCAUAUCGUGAUGAUGAAGCCUCAAUACCUGUGACUCAUGUCAAAUGAAGAUGGGAUGAAGUACACAAAUAUGCUUCGUACAGGUCCUAUGGGUUGUCUUGCAACUUACAAAAUAAGGGUCAGCAGUACACCGAGUCAGGUGACAAUGCCUCUAUUUUUUGGUGACCGGACGCAUUCCAGUGAGGUCAUGUCAAAAAUUAGAAUUAAAUAAAUAUAAAUAAUAGAAAGGAUAUGGAUGUAAAUACAGAUUUUUAAAAAAAGAUGAUGAUAUAUUUAAAUUAAAGCAGGAUAUUUAGAUAUUACUUGUUAAUUUCUGAAUUAAAAAAAAAAGGAGUUAUAGAUUGCUUAUUGUAAGAUGGACUAGAAAUUGUCCCUCCCUGUCUAUCAUCUGUACUGUUUAAAUCAGUUACAGGGUUUUUGGCUGUCUUAUUGUAAGGUGGACAAGAAUCUGCCCCGCCUUGUCUAAAAUCUGUACUGUGUAAAUCAGUUACAGGUUUUUUGGCUUUUUUAUUGUAAGGUGGACUAGAAACCGUAAGAUUGACUAGGAACUGUUCCUCCUUAUUUAUCAUCUGUACUGUGUAAAUCAGUUUCAGGUAUUUUGGCUAUCCUGUUGUAAGGUGGACCUGAAAUUGUCUCUUCCUGUCUUUCAUCUGUACUGUGUAAAUCAGUUACGGGUGUUUUAGCUGUGUAAUUGUUGAGGUUGAUUAGAAACUGUUCCUCCUUAUUUAACAUCUGUACUGUAUACAUUAGUAACAGGUGUAUUGGCUGUGUUAUUGUAAGGUGGGCUUGAAACUGCCUCUCCAUGUCUAACAUUUGUACUGUGUAAAUCAGUUACAGGUUUGUGUGUUUGUAUAUAGUAAAGUAUAGCGGUUAAUUAAUUUCCUGUAACCUGUGGUGAACAUAUUAUGGUGUACUGUAUUACUUUCCAUAUCGUGAUGAUGAAGCCUCAAUACCUGUGACUCAUGUCAAAUGAAGAUGGGAUGAAGUACACAAAUAUGCUUCGUACAGGUCCUAUGGGUUGUCUUGCAACUUACAAAAUAAGGGUCAGCAGUACACCGAGUCAGGUGACAAUGCCUCUAUUUUUUGGUGACCGGACGCAUACCAGUGAGGUCAUGUCAAAAAUUAGAAUUAAAUAAAUAUAAAUAAUAGAAAGGAUAUGGAUGUAAAUACAGAUUUUUAAAAAAAAGAUGAUGAUAUAUUUAAAUUAAAGCAGGAUAUUUAGAUAUUCCUUGUUAAUUUCUGAAUUAAAAAAAAAAAGGAGUUAUAGAUUGCUUAUUGUAAGAUGGACUAGAAAUUGUCCCUCCCUGUCUAUCAUCUGUACUGUUUAAAUCAGUUACAGGUUUUUUGGCUUUUUUAUUGUAAGGUGGACUAGAAACCGUAAGAUUGACUAGGAACUGUUCCUCCUUAUUUAUCAUCUGUACUGUUUAAAUCAGUUACAGGGUUUUUGGCUGUCUUAUUGUAAGGUGGACAAGAAUCUGCCCCGCCUUGUCUAAAAUCUGUACUGUGUAAAUCAGUUACAGGUUUUUUGGCUUUUUUAUUGUAAGGUGGACUAGAAACCGUAAGAUUGACUAGGAACUGUUCCUCCUUAUUUAUCAUCUGUACUGUGUAAAUCAGUUUCAGGUAUUUUGGCUAUCCUGUUGUAAGGUGGACCUGAAAUUGUCUCUUCCUGUCUUUCAUCUGUACUGUGUAAAUCAGUUACGGGUGUUUUAGCUGUGUAAUUGUUGAGGUUGAUUAGAAACUGUUCCUCCUUAUUUAACAUCUGUACUGUAUACAUUAGUAACAGGUGUAUUGGCUGUGUUAUUGUAAGGUGGGCUUGAAACUGCCUCUCCAUGUCUAACAUUUGUACUGUGUAAAUCAGUUACAGGUUUGUGUGUUUGUAUAUAGUAAAGUAUAGCGGUUAAUUAAUUACCUGUAACCUGUGGUGAACAUAUUAUGGUGUACUGUAUUACUUUCCAUAUCGUGAUGAUGAAGCCUCAAUACCUGUGACUCAUGUCAAAUGAAGAUGGGAUGAAGUACACAAAUAUGCUUCGUACAGGUCCUAUGGGUUGUCUUGCAACUUACAAAAUAAGGGUCAGCAGUACACCGAGUCAGGUGACAAUGCCUCUAUUUUUUGGUAACCGGACGCAUACCAGUGAGGUCAUGUCAAAAAUUAGAAUUAAAUAAAUAUAAAUAAUAGAAAGGAUAUGGAUGUAAAUACAGAUUUUUAAAAAAAGAUGAUGAUAUAUUUAAAUUAAAGCAAGAUAUUUAGAUAUAACUUGUUAAAUUCUAAAUUUAAAAAAUGGAGCUGUAGAUUGUCUUAUUGUAAGGUGGACUAGAAAAUUUCCCUCCUUAUUCAACAUCUGUACUGUGUAAAUCACGUACAAGUUUAUUGGUUGUCUGAUUGUAAGGUUGACUAGAAAGUGUCCCUCCAUGUCUCACAUCUGUACUGUGUUAAUUAGUUACAUGUUGUAGAUUGUUUAAUUGUAAGAUGGGUUAGAAAUUGUCCCUCUGGACUGUGUAAACCAGGUACUUCUUAAUGUAAUGUCUUAUUGCAAGUUUGUCUAUAGAAACUGUUCUUCCCGGUCUACCAUCUGCAUUCUGUAAAUCAGUGACAAGUUCUUGUAAUGUGGGCUAAAAUCUGUCCCUCCCUGUCUAACAUCUGUAGUCUAUUAUAGUCCCAACAAUUAUACUUUUUUGCGAUUGACAAAAACAGUGCUUACUGGUCAAAUCUUUCCCAAGAUAAUGAUCAAACUCCCUCUUUCAUAUAAUAUAACUUGAAUGUGAACAUCGUUGGGCUACAACAAUUGAUAUCAACCCAUGUACUUUCGAGCAUGGUAAAUUCUACCACCUCACUCCCCCUUUCCUAAGACCUAAUGUUUUUCGUACAUUAGUCUUAAUUAUAUUGAUUUAAGAAGUCAACCGCCACACAUUUUAAAACUGUAACUAAAAUGACUUUUCUGAAUAUGAAAAAACCUUAUAUUUACACUUUUCAUAAUUGUCAAACGAUCUAAUAAAAAUGAUUUGCCAAAAAUUCUAUAAACUGGUGAAAAAAAGUAGAAAGUUAAAGUACUAAUACCGAUGUCUUUAAAUAUUGCGCUACUACUUUAAUUAUAGUUACCUAUAUUGGUCAACACCAUACUCAUAAUCCAAUUAGAGCACAAUAUGAAUUCGGUUUCAGAAAUUUUAUAAAAUACACAGUUAAAGUAAUAAUACCGGUGUUUCAUAAUAUUGCGCUACUACAUGUAUAUUUACUUACCUAUAUUGGUCAACAUCAUAAUUAUAAUCCAAUUAGAGCACAAUAUGAAUUCCUUAAGAAUUAUAAAUUACUGAAAGUUAUGCAUGUUAACUAAUCCUAUUCUGCAUAUCAAAAACAUGUGCACCAUGUGAAACCCAUCUAUAUGACCAAAAGAGCUCGGUAAAACAAGUACCCGCUAAUGCAGAAUCUAAAUUUUGAAAUUAAUAUCAAAUUUCAUAAAAAAUUAUAAAAUGAUUAUAUAAAAUUUAAAAAUAAAAAGUGUUUUUAGUUAAAUCUGAAUAUCUUUAAAUAGUUUAUUCAUAUUUGAUAAAAACAAAAGAUUUGUAGUUGUAGACUUCUUAUUAGAAGGUUGACUAGAAAAUAUCCUUACCUGUCUACCUGUCUUACCUGUCUACAUCUGUUCUCUGUUAAUCAGUUAAUUGACCCUCCGUGUCUAUCAUCUUUACUGUGUAAAUCAGCUACAGGUUAAUUGACCGUUUUAUUGUAAGGUGAACUAGAAAUUGUCCCUCAUGUCUAACAUCUGUACUGUGUAAAUCACUUACAGGUUUAUUUACCGUUUUAGUGUAAGGUGAACUAGAAAUUGACCCUCCCUGUCUAACAUCUGUACUGUGUAAAUCACUUACAGGUUUGUUGGCUGUCUUAUUGUAAGGUGAACUAGAAAUUGACCCUCCCUGUCUAACAUCUGUACUGUGUAAAUCAGUUACAGGUUUGUUUGCUGUCUUAUUGUAAGGUGAACUAGAAGUUGUCCCCCCCUGUUUAUCAUCUUUACUGUGUAAAUCAGUUACAGGUUUGUUGACCGUUUAAUUGUAAGUUGAACUAGAAAUUGACCCUCCCUGUCUAACAUCUGUACUGUGUAAAUCACUUACAGGUUUAUUUACCGUUUUAUUGUAAGGUGAACUAGAAAUUGACCCUCCCUGUCUAACAUCUUUACUGUGUAAAUAAUUUACAGGUUUGUUGACCGUUUAAUUGUAAGUUGAACUAGAAAUUGACCCUCUCUGUCUAACAUCUGUACUGUGUAAAUCACUUACAGGUUUAUUUACCGUUUUAUUGUAAGGUGAACUAGACAUUGACCCUCCCUGUCUAACAUCUGUACUGUGUAAAUCACUUACAGGUUUGUUGGCUGUCUUAUUGUAAGGUGAACUAGAAGUUGUCGUUCCCUGUGUAUCAUCUGUACUGUGUAAAUCAGUUACAGGUAUAUUGACCGUUUUAUUGUAAGGUGAACUAGAAAUUGUCCCUCAUGUCUAACAUCUGUACUGUGUAAAUCACUUACAGGUUUGUUGGCUGUCUUAUUGUAAGAUGAACUAGAAAUUGACCCUCCCUGUCUAAAAUCUGUACGGUGUUAAUCAGUUACGGGUUCUUUUGGCUGUCUUAUUCUAAGCAGGACUAGAAACUACACUGCCGUCCACUAUUUAGAAAUUGUCCCUCCCUGUGUAACAUCUGUACUGUGUAAAUCACUUACAGGUUUGUUGGCUGUUUUAUUGUAAGGUGAACUAGAAAUUGACCCUCCUUGUCUAACAUCUGUACUGUGUAAAUCACUUACAGGUUUGUUGGCUGUGAACUAGAAAUUGACCCUCCCUGUCUAUCAUCUGUAUUGUGUAAAUCAGCUACAGGUUAAUUGACCGUUUUAUUGUAAGAUGAACUAGAAAUUGACCCUCCCUGUCUAACAUCUGUACUGUGUAAAUCACAAACAGGUUUGGUGGCUGUCUUAUUGUAAAGUGAACAAGAAAUUGUCCCCCUGUCUAUCAUCUUUACUGUGUAAAUAAUUUACAGGUUUGUUGGCUGUCUAAUUGUAAGUUGAAGAAGAAAUUGACCCUCCUUGUCCAACAUCUGUACUGUGUAAAUCACUUACUGGUUAAUUUACCGUUUUAGUGUAAGGUGAACUAGAAAUUGACACUCCCUGUCUAACAUCUGUACUGUGUAAAUCACUUACAGGUUUGUUGGCUGUCUUAUUGUAAGGUGAACUAGAAGUUGUCGUUCCCUGUCUAUCAUCUGUACUGUGUAAAUCAGUUACAGGUUUAUUGACCGUUUUAUUGUAAGGUGAACUAGAAAUUGACCCUCCCUGUCUAACAUCUGUACUGUGUAAAUCACUUACAGGUUUGUUUGCUGUCUUAUUGUAAGAUGAACUAGAAAUUGACCCUCCCUGUCUAACAUCUAUACUGUGUAUAUCAGUUACGGGUUCUUUUGGCUGUCUUAUUCUAAGCAGGACUAGAAACUACCCCGCUGUCCACUAUUUAACAUCUGUACCGUGUAAAUCAGCUACAGGUUUAUUUGGGUUUUUUGCUGUCUUAUUGUUAGGUUAAAAGGUAUUAUAUGUAUCCGUAUUACUGGCAUAAAGAACAUCUACAUGCUUUUAUAUUUCACCUAUAUAUCAUUUGAAUUUUUAAAUAUGUUUUUCUUGAAAUCAGUUUUGCACUUUAAAACUUGAAGAGAUCAUCUUGUAACUGUUAAUAUUGUUGAUGAUGUCUACAUCAAAAUCCUGUAAACAUAGAAUCCUACCAUUACUCUUAACUACAGUAAAGACCAAUUCCACAGGGCUCGAUGAUCGUGGCCAUUUUGAGAUUGAUCUCCUUUUAAAAAGAAGAAUUAUGAAUAAAAAUAAAGAAUAAGAACAUUCUGUUAUUUCUAUGGAUUUUGGUUAUAGUUGAAUAUUUUGUGAUUGUGAUCCUGGUGUAUUAGGGUAGUUCCAUGGUCCUGAAUGACAUCUUGUGAAUUGUCGAAACGGUAAAGAUAGUUCCAAAUGACUGUUGUUGGCCCUGAAUCGUUGUUUCUUUCAUAGGGCUUCUUAUCUUUACUUUCUUUUCUGUGCUUACACUGUAAAAAAGAUAUUUAUUCAUUCGAGAACAGUUUUCAAUACAAAUUUGUGAAAAAUAGUUUUUACACAUUUCGCCUAAAAAAGUUCUUCAUGCUUAAACAUGUUUACUGAAGCAUUCUUUAUCUAAAACAUAAUAAGCCAUUAUGUUUAGGAGGUAAACACAUAAUCCCUUCCAUUUUGAUUUGUCUCCAACAUGUUUAAAAUCUCAACAUCUGAAACUAAUCCUUCGACUCCAUUUCAUUCAAUGAAAAUUUAAAUUCGAAAGGUUACCCUUGAUGUUGCUGACAUGAUUCUUCUGCCUAUUUCCAAACUGAGAUCUUGUACCACCAUCAGAAAUAAAUGGAAUUGUAUGCAACAAUAUAAGAAAAUGCAAAGAUAUCGAAUUAUUAACUGCGAGAAACUAUAACAAUUCACUGUAAGAAUUAUGUUUAGGUCCUAAACGUUUUUUUAAACGCCACGGAUGUAAUAAAUUUUAAACGUGUUUAUAAUUGUAACAUGUUUUCUAGCUAAACGUAUUUAGAAAUGUGUUCAUUUCCUUAACAUGUAUCAAGAUGGCGUGUUUAGAUUUUAAACAUGCCAAUCUAAAUGUGUUUAGAAUCUAAACACAUCUUUAAACGCAUUUAUGGCAUUGAGGACUAAAUUCUCAGCAAUGUGGUUUUUAAAAAAUUACAAAAAGCACAGAACAUUUGUGCAUUCAUGCCUCUCACCAGUCCUGUCAUAAAUUACAUAUCGUUGUUUACACUCUACAAUUUAAAAAACAAACACAUUGAUUGAAAUUGAAAGUAAACACUUUAAUGAGUGUUUCCACUAAAUGUCAAUACUUGUAAAAAAAAAAAAUAAUAAUAAAUGUUAUACAGAUUCACACAUGCAUACUAGUUAUGUUUUCAAAUUGUAUAAACCAUAAUUGUAAUUUAGAUAAAAGAUAAAAAUUCCUGAUUAAAAGUUCAUUUAAAUUGUAGAGUUAUGUGUUUUGUCAAUUUUACGACAAGAUUUUCUUUGAAAUUUAAUUUUGUGCAAUUGCAUUGAUACACAUGAUUAACAAAAAGUACUUCAGUAAAAUCUCAUAAAAUUAGACCUAUAAAUCUGGUCCAUAAACAACAGGACAAAUAUACAACGCAAGUAGGAUCCGAGAAAGAGUUUCUAUGCUGUUAAAGCUGAAAACAACUCUUGGAAUGUUAUCAUCCUCUAUAAUUCUUGGUGUGUCAUCUUUUUAUCCAGUGUCUUUGUGAACUUUAGAUAAUUAGAACACAUGAAGAAAUCGUUGGAUCGAUCAUUUAAUAUGUAGUGUUGAAGGAAUCCAAGAAGCUGGUACUGCUUUGGAUAAUUAAGAUCCAAUGUGUAGUAAGUGAACAGAAGUAGUUUCAGAGCCUCUCUGGCAUUCUGCCCUACUUCCAUCGAAAUGCCCUCUGCCUCUUAAAAACUGUGAACUCUAAUGUUUGGUUUUCAUCAAAUCUAACACUUUCACUCAUUUAAAGGAUGUCCGUAUAGGUUGUACAACACAUAAAUGUAUAGAUUAUUCAAUCAAGUCAAUAAUUCUUGUGUUUUCUAAAGGAAUUUUUAAGUACGUAACAUAAAUAUUUUUAUCUAAUUUUUCUAAUUUUGAAAUAUAUACGAGCUAAACAAAAAGAAAAAAUUCUCGAAUUACAGAAAGAAAAAUUCUCUAAUUCCUACAUGCAUAUAGGUUGACAUAUAAUGGACGAAUUUGCAUGUUGGUUCUAAUACUCUGUUUUGAAUAGAUUGCACUGUCUCCUUGCGAAAAAAGUUUCAAAUGCAUAUGAAUACAGGUCAUGUUAUAUACAAUCUUUGGGUAUAAAUGUAUCCUCACGAAACAAUAUUGGUAAUGGUGUCAAAGAUGAUUUGCAUUUAACUUACCAACUUGUCCAUAUUACAUGGACUCGAAACGUUUGCAAAACUUUAGAUAAUUGUCUGAAGUAAUGAACUCUGUUUUUUGUCCCCCAAGACAUGGUGCUGAAUAAAUCCUAAAAGAUAAAAAAAAUUGGGGUAUGGCAUCCCAGGCGUAAUACGCACAUAGCAGUUUUAAGAAUCUAUCUUGCAAAAGAAAAGUUUGUGUCUCAAGUUUCUGACCAGCUCCAACAACGUAUAUGUUUUGUAGUGCUCCUUGUGAGCUGAGCACGGCAAUUAGUCUGGGAGGAUCUUCUUUCUUGCUCUUCAUUCCAUUCCAUUCACUAGCCCAUAAUAAAUAUACAAUCAUUAUGUGCAACACAGCUAAUAACUUUAAGGUUUUUUUCAUUUUUCACACUGAUAAAAUGUCUGUCAAAAACAUACCUGCAUGUAGUGACAGAACUGGAUUCUUUGGGGCCUUGUAUUCCAAUGCAUUCUUCAGUUUGACGAGCGUAUCUAUGGUUACCACUUGAUUCUGUACAAGAUAAAACAUAAUAUCAGACGGGAAUUUUGAAUCUUUAUCUUCAUUGAAUAAGCUACGACCUUCGCCUCAUUAAAAUAGUAUCAUUAUAUUAUUGUAUUAUCUAAUAUUUAUUAGUUUUCAUGUAAAUUGAAAGAUACUCGAAAUAUUUAAACAAAUAUAUUUUAGUAUAAUAUAUCUAACAGUUUCUUAAUUUUCAUCCGUGAAAAUCGUCCCUCUACUCAUGACUGUCUCCCAUCAAUCAUUAAUAUCUUUUUUUUCAAAUUUGGCUUUGAAAGAAAGAACUCUUUCUAAAUCUUAAAAAAAUAUGUAUAAUUAAUAUUUUUAACACCUUAAUUAAAAUUAUCAAUCGUAACGAAUGUCUUAAAGAAGAUGGAAUAUAUGGAAACAAUUAUUUAAUUAAAACAUCGAUAUUUUUGUUUCUUUUCCUCUCUCAUAAAGUAUUCCUUUGAAAAGUCUGAUAUUAUUUAUCUUAAUGUUUAAUAAUUAAAAUUAUUAAGAAUCAUUUCAUUUUUUAACUACCCAGUACUUACAAAUAAACACUUCCACAAGAAUGGAAAUAUUUUAAUGAGUCAUCGACUGAUCCCUGGUAUUUUUCUACAAAUGAUCUCUGCUCAAGGGUAUCUCUUUGUGCUCUUGCAAUGACUGCCAAGUCCAUCAUUUUUGUUUGUUUUUAAACUCUUUUUCCAAUACCUUUUCAGCAUCCCCAUGUUUAUUUUUCUCUUUUAAAAAGUAUAAUUUUUAUUAUCGAUGAUAUUGCCAACAAAGCAUUCCUUUAGAAAAAAAUUUGUUGUUUACAUUUUGAAAAGUAAUGAUAUUAAAAUAUAACAUACAUCUUACAAAACUUUCAAAAACAUCUUAACCGUUUAAAUCAGUAACAAGUUUGUGGAUCAUCUUACUCUUAGGUAAUUGAGAAAACUUAAGCUGUUUAAUCAGAAUAUCGGUUAAUAAAAAACGCGUAAACAGUACCAUUUUCCCUUGUAUAACAUAAAAUUUGGAUUGAUUCUUGUUGAUAUACUUUGCUAUAAGUAAACUCAAACAGUAAGACGCAUUAAUUUGAAUAAUAUUAAAUCGGAUUUACAAGUUUUGGACGUAUUGUAAACUUUGUGUUCUUCUUAGCAAGUUAUUAAUGACAAUUUUGAUGAAUAUAUUUUGCCAAUCAAAUAAAGUGUUAUAACCAGAAUUAGAGACUAGUAUAUAAAUAUUUAGUUAUAAAUUUUGUUUUACAAUAUGGAUUAUAAAGUCUUAACUGUAUGUAAACUGCCUGACACAAAAAUAUUUUGGUUUGUCCAACUAUUGUAUUAGAUAUUUUUGGCGUUUACAUGUAUCUAUUGGAUAUUAUCUAACGUUGCAAACGCAAACUUGAGAAAAGUAGCUUUUGGUGCAUAUAAUUCCGAUUUCUUACCUUUCAUAGCUGUGUAUAAAUAUUCCUGGUAUUCAUAUUCCCUGUUCGGCAUACAAUGCAACAAAGAAUGCAACAUUUUAAAAUUUUGUUGCCAAGUUGAUAUCAAAUAUAUUUGUUUCAUUGGAAUACUUGAAUUCUAUACAUUAGUCCAAUUAAAGUUUUGUUGACAGAAACUUUGUUUUACAAUAAUACAAAUACAAGGUUUUCUUUGUCUUAACCGGUCGUAAUCAGCUAUACAUUUUCACCUUUUAACGUAACUAUUACACCAUGGACAUAUUACUCACAUUGAAGUAUUGAUAGUGAUGGGAAAGUAUCAGUGUGAUAAUUGUAUAAUAUGAAACUAAGUCAUUGUAGUUAUAUAAGCCUAUAACCUAUAUGUGAUUUUCAUUAUGUGGAUACUUUUGUGACAUGUUACUUUUGCGUUCAACAGAACUUAAUGUUACAUGAUUUGAAUUAAACCAUUGUUGCAUGAUAA